rnacentral:rRNA from 1 species
AGUGAACGCUGGCGGCGUGCCUAACACAUGCAAGUCGAGCGAAGCGGCAGCUGUAGCAAUACAGUAUGUGCUUAGCGGCAGACGGGUGAGUAACACGUAGAUAACUUACCUCUUAGCGGGGGAUAGCCCGCCGAAAGGCGGGGUAAUACCGCGUAAGAUAUUCCUGUGGCAUCUUAGGAAUAUGAAACAUCCGCAAGGAUGGCUAAGAGAAAGAUCUGCGGCCUAUCAGCUAGUUGGCGGGGUAACGGCCCACCAAGGCUACGACGGGUAUCCGACCUGAAAGGGUGAUCGGACACACUGACACUGAGACACGGGUCAGACUCCUACGGGAGGCAGCAGUGAGGAAUUUUGGACAAUGGGGGAAACCCUGAUCCAGCGACGCCGCGUGAAGGAUGAAGGUCUUCGGAUUGUAAACUUCUUUUAUUUGGGACUAAGAAACCUGUAGAAUGCGGGGAGUGAAUGUACCAAGUGAA